GCCUCUUCAGUCCGAAGAACUCCACGAUGGCCGCCCUGCUGCUGCUGGCUCUUCUCGCCAUGGCCCCGCAGCUCUACGCAGACUGCUCUGUGGACGUAAACAAAUCCCAGAUGCCCUACCCUCAGCCGCUGCUGCUGAAGCCCGGCGGAAGCAAAGACGUGCACGGCUUCGUCACGCCGGACUCCUCGGGGAAAAUAUUGCUCAGCCAGAACCAGCAGAUCAUCGUCGCGUGUCCCGACAACGCCCUCGUUGUGACGAAACAGCCGCUGGCGACAGCCACCUGCUUCUCCGGCACCACCUUCACCAUCGGAAGUACGGCCUACAACUUCAGUGAUCUCGGAUGCGUGUCCCAGCCGAAACCAUCGGAGCGGAAUCCGGCCAAAACGUGCGGCAGCAGAAGUCAGUAUCAGGAGAUCCAGCUGGGCUUCCAGGUCGGCCCCGACUUCUAUACGCUCAUCGACGCCUGCUUCGACGUUCGCUCCUACAGCACGGUGUACGACCACUUCACGAUGGUCCGCGAAAUAGGGGGCAGCCAGACCCGUUUCCCCCGGCCCGACUGGUUGAAUGGCACCUUCUUCCCCAACAUUGACAUGGAUAAUCAAUACAAAAGGGCCACGCAGAUCGACACGGUCGGCAGGCUGCUGGGGGACCCUAAGUUGGGGUCCAAGUACAUUUCUCUAAAGACCGACUACUUCCUUUCCAAAGGACACCUCACUGCUAAGUCUGAUUUCAGUCUUGGCGCGCAGGAAUACGUCACAUUCUUCUACAUGAAUGCUGCGCCGCAGUGGCAUACGUUCAAUGGUGGCAACUGGAAACUCAUGGAGGACAAUGUACAUUCCUAUGCUGCAACAAACCGCGUCGAGCUGCAAAUCUACACGGGUACGCACGGAAUCACAACGCUGCCCAACGUGAGAAAUGACGAGACGGAGUUGUAUCUUUAUACUAACGGCACAAACUACAUUCCAGUGCCGAAGCUCUUUUGGAAGAUUCUGUAUAGAGAGGAUACUGGGGCAGCUGUAGUGUUCCUAGGUGUAAACAAUCCGUACAUUGACAAACCUGGCUCUGACUACUUCAUCUGCAAAGACGUGUGCACCAAGAUCAGCUGGUUAACCUGGAAGGCCAAUAACCAGAAGAUGGGCUACUCGUACUGCUGCGAAUAUGCAGGCUUCAAGAGAGUCGUGGCCGACGCACCCAACCUCAACGUUACCUCUCUGCUUACCUAAGCCUCUCAACUGGAAGGCACUUCGAAUUAAAUUCAGAAAUCACAAGGAAGCCACACCAGACGAAAUCGGUAUUCGGGACUUCUAUGGGAUCCAAUAAAGAACGUAAAUACAUCUGUAACUCUUUGUUUCGGUUAGUUCACAGUCCUUGAAUUUUACUGAUAUCAGUAUUUCACUUGAAGCUUCUUUGUGCCUUCUUUGAACGCAUAUUCCUAAGGUUAAGAGAUUAUGGCGACUUUUGAUUUAAACAUUCCGAUUCUCUCUUGAAACUUAUGUCUACCAAUUAGAGUAAAUGUAUCCAGUACAAGUAAUUUUGCUAUAUUUGUGACAUAUUUAUUUUAGAGAAAGUUUGGUUAUUCAAUGGCAACAUGGAAAUACUAGCUAUUAUGUUUAUAUGGUAUACGGAGCAGAGUUAAUUUCUCACUUUUUUCCGACUGUACUACUUAGGUGCAUAAUUAUAAAACAAGGUUACAGAGGAGGAAACAUGAUGAAUGUACAUGACAACAAAAUCCGAUGUAACGUAUUUCCUAACUUAAACAUAAUUUGUAUGUAUGCAUUUCUGAAAAAUAAAAGAAAAUUUAGAUGUAAAAACAAUACUUUGUGCUCAAAACUACAAUGUGAAUGAAGACACAUGCAUAUUUUA